rnacentral:rRNA from 1 species
UACGUAGGGUGCAAGCGUUGUCCGGAAUUAUUGGGCGUAAAGAGCUCGUAGGCGGUCUGUCGCGUCGGCUGUGAAAACUCGGGGCUCAACCCGAGCCUGCAGUCGAUACGGGCAGACUAGAGUGCGUGUAGGGGAGACUGGAAUUCCUGGUGUAGCGGUGAAAUGCGUAGAUAUCAUUGGAACGCCAAUGGUGAAAACAGCUCGUUGGGGUGCACUGACACUGAGACACGAAAGCCAGGGAGCGAACGG